rnacentral:rRNA from 1 species
AUACGGAGGGUGCAAGCGUUAAUCGGAAUUACUGGGCGUAAAGCGCGCGUAGGUGGUUUGUUAAGCGAGAUGUGAAAGCCCCGGGCUCAACCUGGGAACUGCAUUUCGAACUGGCAAACUAGAGUAUGGUAGAGGUGAGUGGAAUUUCCUGUGUAGCGGUGAAAUGCGUAGAUAUAGGAAGGAACACCAGUGGCGAAGGCGACUCACUGGACCAAUACUGACACUGAGGUGCGAAAGCGUGGGGAGCAAACAGGAUUAGAAACCCUAGUAGUCC